rnacentral:tRNA from 1 species
GCGGGUGUAACUCAAUGGUAGAGAGUCAGCCUUCCAAGCUGAAAACGAGGGUUCGAUUCCCUUCACCCGCUCCA